rnacentral:lncRNA from 1 species
AUGAAUAUCCCUGUGACAGGUGCAGGUUACUGAACUAUAGUUAUCAACAAGGGAGGCUUCUGGGUCCGCCCACUCCUACACAGAUCACAGGCUAUUGCCACCGCUGCUGUUUGCAUGCCAGAGCUAGACUGUAAGUCUCUAUGGCUGGAAACCUUGCGCCCUCUGGUUGAAGGUUCUGGAUAAAUCCAUCUGACACUGAAAUGGAAGGUUCCUCACUGGUGGCUGGCUUUCAUAGUGCUGUAAGGUACUUAGCCAAUUACUGAGUGAAACAACCAUCCUGCUCAGCUGUGGACUGGCUCCACAUACUAAUGCCACCCACAAGCCAGGCAAGACGUGCGUGGCCCCAGGAGCAACAGCGGCACAACUGUCUGGGCACAAACAACUACCUUCCAGUUGGAUUUAAGAUCCACGCCAGAGAGAGAAUCCAGGAUUGAGACUUUAAGCCAAAACAAAAACGUGUGGCUGAGGAAAGUCAUAGACUCAAUGGGGAAGUUACUACUAUUGUUUAGUUAAUGAAAUGUGUUGUGCCUGUGGUCUUCUAAACAUUUAUAUUCCUGGCCAUAAAUUAUCACUGCUGCUGGCCUUGGUCAGGGUAGCAGUUAUUGCAAAAUGUCGUAACUAGUCGCAUUGCCUAGAAAAAGUGACUGCUGUUACUGUGGUAGAGUGGGUCAAUGUUUAGCCUUCAAUGGAAGAAAAUAAUUAUAUACCUUAUCACCUCUCUAGGGCCCAAGGAACAUGCGCAUUGUAGGCAUGGAAAGAAUGUAGGAGCAAGAUGUAAUGGCAUUGUGAUGCUUUACCCAGUGAGUUGGAUGUCCUCACUGCCAUCUUGAAUCAAAGCAACCUCUCUGUAUAGCCCUG